AGUCUGGUGCCAGCAGCCGCGGUAAUUCCAGCUCUGAUAGUAUAUAUUAAAGUUGUUGCAGUUAAAAAGCUCGUAGUUGAAACUUGGGUGCGUAGGGGCGGUCUCUUUUAGAGUACUACCCUGAAACAUCUUUCUUUGGUGUAAACUUUCUAUUUAUUUAGGAAGUGUAAACCAAACAUUUACUUUGAAAAAAUUAGAGUGUUCAAAGCAGGCCUUUGCUCGAAUAUAUUAGCAUGGAAUAAUAGAAUAGGACGUAUAGUUCUAUUUUUUUGGUUUCUAGGACCGUCGUAAUGAUCAAUAGGGACGGUCGGGGGCAUCAGUAUUCAGUUGUCAGAGGUGAAAUUCUUGGAUUUACUGAAGACUAACUACUGCGAAAGCAUUUGCCAAGGACGUUUUCAUUAAUCAAGAUCGAAAGUUAGGGGAUCGAAGACGAUCAGAUACCGUCGUAGUCUUAACCGUAAACUAUGCCGACUAGGGAUCGGAGGGCGUUAUAAUAACCUCUCCGGCACCUUACGAGAAAUCAAAGUUUUUGGGUUCUGGGGGGAGUAUGGUUGCAAGGCUGAAACUUAAAGGAAUUGACGGAAGGGCACCACCAGGAGUGGAGCCUGCGGCUUAAUUUGACCCAACACGGGGAAACUCACCAGGUCCAGACACAAUAAGGAUUGACAGAUUGAGAGCUCUUUCAUGAUUUUGUGGGUGGUGGUGCAUGGCCGUUCUUAGUUGGUGGAGUGAUUUGUCUGCUUAAUUGCGAUAACGAACGAGACCUUAACCUGCUAAAUAGCUGUAACAAUAGAUUAUUGUUUUGACAGCUUCUUAGAGGGACUAUCGAUUUUCAAGUCGAUGGAAGUUUGAGGCAAUAACAGGUCUGUGAUGCCCUUAGACGUUCUGGGCCGCACGCGCACUACACUGACGGAGCCAGCGAGUCUAACCUGUGCCGAGAGGUAUGGGUAAUCUUGUGAAACUCCGUCGUGCUGGGGAUAGAGCAUUGCAAUUAUUGCUCUUCAACGAGGAAUUCCUAGUAAGCGCAAGUCAUCAGCUUGCGUUGAUUACGUCCCUGCCCUUUGUACACACCGCCCGUCGCUACUACCGAUUGAAUGGCUUAGUAAGGCUUCCGGAUUGAUUAACUGGAGAGGGCAACUUUUCUGGUUGAACGAGAAGCUAGU
rnacentral:rRNA from 1 species